AAAGCCCCACUCCCCAGCUGCCAGACUUGCAGACCUGAUGUUGGUUAUGAUCAGAGAAGCAUCUGAGCACCUUUACAGGUUGCCUCAAGUACCUACUCCAAAAUCCUGCCAGCUCUUGGAAGUCUUGGACCAUUAAUUGAUCAUUUCACGUAAAUUAAUAUUUUCUUCUUUAAAUACUUAUAAAUUAUAUGCCAGAGACUAAUUACUAAGAGGGGCCGUUUCUUAUCAAAUACAACUUAUUAUACUGUUCGCCCGUAUUAGGUUUACACCCUGUAUAUACCCGUCCUAGCGAAAUCACGAUAUGCAUUUUCGCCACUGACGGUAACGGAACUAAAUAAUAUUAAAUAUAAUUUUCCCUCGGUUUCUGAACACGGUUUUAGAGUUGGCAACCCCGGACCGCGACGCGACGCCAUCUUUUAUUUAUUCUAUCGUGGUGCGCGUCCUUCUGUGAGUUAGCUGACGGAAAUAUGGUGAGAUUUGCUAUUUAAUUACCAAUUUACAGCCUAUGUGGCAGUUAACUGUUAGAUAGUUUAUUGUGGGACUAGGUUGGUUUGUGUAAUAUAUCAUAUUACAGAAAAACGGCUCGUCACGUCGCGGGUAGCGCUUACGCCGCCUUCGCGCCCCACUUGAAUCGACGACCUACAUGUCGCAUCCGCGAAUUAUUUUUAACAUUAUAAAUCAAUAUAUUUUUAUACUGUGUUCAGGUUCAGGGUUGUUUUUGCCCAUGCCCCAUCAUCUGCCGCGAUCCUGGACAAGUUGGCGAUCAACAGGAUCCGGCCUGCGUGCAAUGGCCAGUGAAGUCUAUCCCAGUGCCUGUAUUAUUAUCAAGUCAUCACGCUGUCGUCGUCGGACUCGUCGGUUACAAAUGACGCGGCAGAUCUCUCUUAAGCUUAGAAAGAUGGUUGUGGCGCAGUGCUCUGCUACUUCGUGCCACAGACCAUUCUCCAACUGCAGAUCUACGUGUCAGCGCGACAGUGCACUCACUAACCUUGUUUGGCCCGGUGGAAUUUGUCAAUUCAGCGUGUGCUACUCUGCGGCGCGGCGGCGGCGGCGGCGCCUUCAUAAUGAACUUCAACUAACUAUAUGGUAAAAUGAUGUAUGUCACUUGAGGCGAGGAGGACUUGAGAAGGUGCGUCUGCGAACGGCCUUAGUGACGCCUCUUCAGCGCGACGGGUGGUCUCCUCAAAUAUGAGAAGGAGCUCGGGUCCUGCGGGCUCUUAACCGUCGUAGUAUUCACGCAGUGUUUUAAAAUAGUGUUUGUGUGUAUUAUGAUAACAUUUAUGUUCAAUUCAAAUGUCUAACUCUACAUAAGUAUUCAUAUCAUUUUUCAUUAGUAUGGUGCUGUUUUUGCGGUCUGAAGAAAAAACUUUAAAUAAAAUAAUUAUGUUGUCUGUA